UACAGAGGUCUCAAGCGUUGUUCGGAUUCAUUGGGCGUAAAGGGUGUGUAGGUGGCGCGCUAAGUCGGGUGUGAAAUUUCGGAGCUUAACUCCGAAACUGCAUUCGAUACUGGCGUGCUUGAGGACUGGAGAGGAGACUGGAAUUCACGGUGUAGCAGUGAAAUGCGUAGAUAUCGUGAGGAAGACCAGUGGCGAAGGCGGGUCUCUGGACAGUGCCUGACGCUGAGGCGCGAAGGCCAGGGGAGCAAACGGG
rnacentral:rRNA from 1 species